AUACAUACCUGGCAGGGGAGAUACCAUGAUCAUGAAGGUGGUUUUCCCAGGGUGAGACUCACCCAUUGCACUCCGGGUGUGCUGACCCCUGUGAUUGCCCCAAAUGUGGGAAAUUCAACUCCAUAAUUUAUGCAUUCAUGCUUUC
rnacentral:snRNA from 1 species